UUUUCUAAGACCUCCCUGGCCCGCCAUACCCCCAUCCUGGACCUGCAAAAACCCAAGACUGCGGGCACGGUGGCUCAUGCCUGUAAUCCCAGCACUUUGGGAGGCCGAGGCGGGCAGAUCACGAGGUCAAGAAGUCGAGACCAGCCUUGCUAACAUGGCGAAACCCUGUCUCUACUGAAAAUACAAAAAUUAGCUGGGCGUGAUGGCGUGCGCGCCUGUAGUCCCAGCUGCUUGGGAGGCUGAGGUAGGAGAAUCGCUUGAAUCCGGGAGGUGGAGGUUGCAGUAAGCAGAGAUUGCGCCACGGCCCUCUAGCCUGGCGACAGAGACUCCUUCAAAAACAACAAUAACAACAACAACAACAAAACAAAACAAAACCUCCCAAGACCCUAGUGGGCAGACACACAGCCAGCCAGACAUGGAGAGUAGCACAUUGGCAGAAGACGCAAGUGGCUGGUCCUCGAGACGACGUUGAGAGGAGCAUGCCAGCAGAAGAGCACACACCGACAGGCACCGACACACCACCGGCAGGCCAUGCACCAGCAGAAUGAUGCGGAGUUUGACAGGGCAGUCAGAGAAGAGCCUGGGCCGCCAAGGGGCCCGACUCCAGGGGAAAACCAUCUCCCUUCUGGCUCCCCCAUCUGCUGAGAGCUACUUCUACUCAAUAAAACCUUGCACUCAUUCUCCAAGCCCACGUGUAAUCCGAUUCUUCAGUGCCGCCUCCCAAAUGUGGAAAUGCAUUGUCUUUCUUCUUUCCUAGACCAGUGGUCCUCAAACCUGAGCAGGUUUAAGCAUGGUCAUAGCAGAAUCAAUGUGCUCACCCCAUCAUGAAAAAAAAAUUUGUUAAUGAAUUGAUUACUACUUUGAGUGUGCCAUAUUUUAAAGACGAAGAGAAACUAAUCAAGUUAGUUUUUAUUUGGUCAGAGGCUUGUUUGUGCCUGCUUAUCUAAAGUUAUAAAGGCCCCAGAUAUGGCUCCGUGUUGUAGAGGGACUGUCUCUUCUUAUAUCGACAGAGCCCAUAUUCACAAUGUAUCACACUUACCUCGAUAUAUUGUCUGGAGUUUCCUAGUCUGUGUCCUUUGCCUGGAAUGCCCUCUCUUGCUAGCUGGCUUCUUCCCACCAGCUGUGGCCAGGGCUGAGGGCUGCUCCUGAUUCCUUCAUCAAAACUCCGUCUGCUGGGUGUGGUGCCUCACACCUGUAAUCCCAGCACUUUGAGAGGCCAAGGUGGGAGUAUCGUUUGAGCCCAGGAGUUCAAGACAAGCCUGGACAACAGAGCAAGACCCUGUCUCUACCAAAAAAAAGAAAAGAAAAGAAAAAAAACAGCCACUUUCUCUUCCAUAAGCCAGUUUAUUUUUUCUUCACGGCAUUUGUUACAAAUCACAAAUGUGGAGGAAAAAUGAAGGCAAAGCAAAAUAACAGGCAAGUCUGAAAACAAAAGUGUUGCCAGUCAUGCUAAGCCUCAGGCACGCAUUCUGAAUGAAGCUAAAGUUUAAAGUCCCCUCUGAUAGAUUUGUGACUUAAAUGUCCACACUAGCAAGUGUGUUUCUCACAUGGAGAAGUAGCACGAUUUUGUGUCAGGAAAGGGAUGAGAACAUGCUUCUUGAACACAUACAACGCUGAAGACAUUUCCUGGAAAACCAUUGGCCUUUGCUUAGGACAGUUGCAUCACACAGAGAUGUUUGUGGUUCAGAUUUAUGAGAAACAUGGGAACUGAAGCCAAAGCACUACUUUUGCUCAGUAUAACCAGGUGCCAGAUCUAAAGUGUUAGGCAGGUUCCUAUAUGUAUGUUAGAAAAAAGUUGCCCAAGUUUUGGACAAUUCCUUUUCCAUCUCUCUUACAAGUCAACAAAUCGAAGCAAUAAACUAUUCUCUGAAGAAAACAAAUUUAUUUGGUUGAUUCAAACUUUUAAUGAGACUGUUACUCCCCUGUGUGCCUUUCCUUUCUCUGGUUCUAGAAAUACAUCUAGAAAGGGGGAAAAUGUUAAUAUAUUUUCUACUGACUUUAUAUCACAAAUGCUUAGCUUAGAGGGUGGACUCUGAGGAACAGUGUCCUUUCCAAAUAUUAUAAAACUUUGUGUUCAUUCUGGAAAAACAAACAAAAUUAAUCACAAUGAUUUCCUGCUUUGGAGCAAUGAGAAAUGGGAGGGAAACUUCACCUUUUCAUAGCUUUUGAUGUUUGCACCAUGUGAAUUACCCACCCCCAAAUUUAAAAUACGAAUUUUUGAAAAAGUGUUUACCUCUGAGAAGAGAAACUAGUAGUGAAGAAUGAGGAGCUGUAGAUUUUUAACGAUUCUGAUGUAUUUGUGUUUUUCCCAAUGUUCAUGAAUAAAUAAAUGUGCAUUCAUAAUUAAAAAGAAUAAACAACCUGGAAAAAAC
rnacentral:lncRNA from 1 species